rnacentral:misc_RNA from 1 species
AAGUUUUGGCACAGCUUAGCGAUUGAUACAAGCUCCUUUCUCUCCCUUCACUCAUUUCACGCCCAGUCGCCAACUACAGUUUAUGCAUUCUUAAAAUCAGAGUAUAAUCUUUGGGCGCGGUUUAUGCAUGAUUUCUAAAAUGUCAAUGGCAAACCCUUUCAAGAAGAUUGUGUCUGCCGUCAUACUUGAUUUAGAUGGUACCCUUCUCAAUACAGAUGGAUUAGUAUCUGAUGUUUUAAAGGGUUUUUUGGUCAAGUAUGGGAAACAGUGGGAUGGAAGAGAAGCUAGUAAAAUAGUAGGAAAGACCCCUUUGGAAGCUGCUGCUGCUAUAGUGGAAGAAUACGGGCUUCCUUGUGCAACAGAAGAAUUUAUUGCAGAAAUCACUCCUGUGUUCUCUGAUCAGUUGUGCAAAAUUAAAGCACUUCCAGGUGCCAAUCGGUUAAUUAAACAUUUAAGUGGUAAUAAUGUACCUGUGGCAUUGGCUUCAAACUCUCCAAACGCAAGCAUAAAAUCCAAAAUUUCAUAUCACCAGGGCUGGCAGGAAUCCUUCUCUGUCAUUAUUGGUGGCGAUGAAGUAAGAACUGGGAAACCAUCUCCUGAAAUAUUUUUGGAAGCAGCUAAAAGGCUGAAUGUCGAACCCUCCAGUUGCCUGGUCAUUGAGGAUUCUUUGCCAGGUGUUAUGGGUGGUAAGGCUGCUGGAAUGGAAGUGGUUGCUGUACCAUCACUUCCAAAACAAUCUCAUCUUUAUACAUCAGCAGAUGAAGUGAUAAACUCUCUACUUGAUUUGCAAACUGAAAAGUGGGGCCUACCUGCAUUUGAAGAUUGGAUUGAGGGUACCUUGCCAGUGGAACCUUGGCAUAUUGGCGGUCCUGUAAUUAAGGGAUUUGGUCGCGGCUCAAAGGUCCUCGGGAUCCCCACUGCUAAUAUAUCCACAGAAGGUUAUUCAAUGUUGCUUUCAGAACACUCCUCUGGCGUGUAUUUUGGUUGGUCUGGACUAUCGACCCGCGGUGUGUAUAAAAUGGUCAUGAGUAUUGGUUGGAACCCAUAUUUUAACAACGCAGAAAAGACUAUAGAGCCAUGGCUGCUUCAUGAAUUUGAUGAAGAUUUCUAUGGUGAGGAAUUGCGUCUUGUUAUAGUUGGCUAUAUUCGACCUGAGGCUAAUUUCACAUCACUUGAGAGCUUGAUAGCGAAGAUUCACGAUGACGGAAGAAUUGCAGAGAGAGCCCUUGAUCUUCCAUUGUACUCAAAAUAUAGGGAUGAUCCAUACUUGAGAGGCUCUUCAUUGUAAUGGAAAUGAUACAUGAAUUUCCUGAAAUACUGGAGAAAAAAGAAAAACUUUUAUUGCCA